rnacentral:rRNA from 1 species
GUGGGGAAUCUUCCGCAAUGGACGAAAGUCUGACGGAGCAACGCCGCGUGAGUGAUGAAGGUCUUCGGAUUGUAAAGCUCUGUUAAUCGGGACGAAAGAGCCUAGUGUGAAUAAUGCUAGGAAGUGACGGUACCGGAAUAGAAAGCCACGGCUAACUACGUGCCAGCAGCCGCGGUAAUACGUAGGUGGCAAGCGUUGUCCGGAAUUAUUGGGCGUAAAGCGCGCGCAGGCGGAUCUGCCAGUCUGUCUUAAAAGUUCUGUGCUUAACCCCAUGAUGUGAUGGAAACUACAGAUCUAGAGUAUCGGAGAGGAAAGUGGAAUUCCUAGUGUAGCGGUGAAAUGCGUAGAUAUUAGGAAGAACACCAGUGGCGAAGGCGACUUUCUGGACGAAAACUGACGCUGAGGCGCGAAAGCCAGGGGAGCGAACGGGAUUAGAUACCCCAGUAGUCC